GCAAGAUACCACGGGCGCACGGCGGAUGCCUUGGCACAGGGAGCCGAUGAAGGACGCGGCAAGCUGCGAUAAUCCCCGGCGAGGAGCACACAUCCUUCGACCCGGGGGUCUCCGAAUGGGCGAACCCAUGCACAGCGGUGUGCAUAUCCCCACCCCGAACGCAUAGGGGCGGGGAGGACAACCCGGGGAACUGAAACAUCUAAGUACCCGGAGGAGAGGAAAUCAAUCUCGAGACUCCCCGAGUAGCGGCGAGCGAAAGGGGACCGAUGGCCAAACCGUCGAGCGGGGAUACCCGGCAGGGGUUCCGCCGGCGGGGUUGCAGGGCCGCGCAUCCGGGGGCUGCCGCCCCCGGGCGCAGGUCCGGCUGGGGAGCGGAACGGCAUGGGAGGGCCGGCCGCAGCGGGUGACAGCCCCGUACGCGAACCCAGACCGGACGGCGCGACGCGGUCCCUGAGUAGGGCCGGGCACGUGAAACCCGGUCCGAACCUGGGUGGACCACCAUCCAAGCCUGAGUACUACCCUGUGACCGAUAGCGCACCAGUACCGUGAGGGAAAGGUGAAAAGCACCCCGGGAGGGGAGUGAAACAGUACCUGAAACCGUGCGCCCACGAGCAGUCGGAGCAACUUUCAGUUGUGACGGCGUGCCUUUUGUAGAAUGAGCCAGCGAGUCGCUGGCGCGGGGCGAGGUUAACCGGAAGGGAGCCGAAGCGAAAGCGAGCCUUAACAGGGCGACUUGAGUCCCGCGCCGCGGACGCGAAGCCGGGUGAGCUAUCCGUGGGCAGGCUGAAGCGGGGGUAAGACCCCGUGGAGGGCCGAACGCACGUCGGUUGAAAACGGCGGCGAUGACCUGCGGAUAGGGGUGAAAGGCCAAUCAAACCCGGAGAUAUCUCGUUCUCCCCGAAAUAGCUUUAGGGCUAGCGUCGCGCGUUCACCGCCGGAGGUAGAGCACCGGAUGGACGAGGGGGCUUCGCCGCCUACCGAAUCCAACCGAACUCCGAAUGCCGGCGGCCCAGAGCGCGGCAGUCAGAGCAUGUGGGCUAAGCUGUGUGCUCGAGAGGGAAACAGCCCGGACCGCCCGCUAAGGUCCCCAAGUUCCAGCCGAGUGGCAAAGGAUGUGCGUCCGCCCAGACAACCAGGAUGUUGGCUUAGAAGCAGCCAUGCAUUCAAAGAGUGCGUAACAGCUCACUGGUCGAGUGGACAUGCGCCGACAAUACACGGGGCUAAGCUGGACACCGAAGCGGCGGGAUUUUACCUAAGUAGAAUCGGUAGGGGAGCUUCCCAUGGGCGGGGAAGCCGCCGGGCGACCGGCGGUGGAGCGCAUGGGAGUGAGAAUGCUGGCAUGAGUAGCGAGAGACGAGAGAGUAACUCGUCCGCCGUGAACCCGAGGUUUCCUGGGCAAGGCUAAUCCUCCCAGGGUCAGUCGGGGGCUAAGGCGAGGCCGGCAGGCGUAGCCGACGCGCAGCAGGCAGACAUUCCUGCACCGCGCACGCGGCGCUACGACCGACGGGGCGACGGAUGGGGGUGGCUCGGCGGGGUUCUGGACGUCCCCGUGAUGGAGCGCGGCCCGCGGACCAGGGAAAUCCGGUCCGCACACAGGGCGAGGCUCCGGACGAAGCACUUAAGCGAAGCGAGUGAGCCCGAGGUCCCUAGAAAAACCCCUAGGCAGGCGCGUGCGCGCCCGUACCGCAAACCGACACAGGUGGGUGGGUAGAACAUACCGAGGCGAUCGGGUCAACCAUGGUCAAGGAACUCGGCACAAUGGCCCCGUAACUUCGGGAGAAGGGGUGCCCGCGCGUACGUGAACGGACUUGCUCCGGGAGCGGAGGCGGGCCGCAGUGGAGAGGCCCAAGCGACUGUUUACCAAAAACACAGGACUCUGCAGAAGCCGCAAGGCGACGUAUAGGGUCUGACGCCUGCCCGGUGCCGGAAGGUCACGCGGAGGAGUUAGCGCAUCGCGCGAAGCCCCGAAGCCAAGCCCCGGUAAACGGCGGCCGUAACUAUAACGGUCCUAAGGUAGCGAAAUUCCUUGUCGGGUAAGUUCCGACCUGC
rnacentral:rRNA from 1 species